AUUGAACGCUGGCGGCAGGCUUAACACAUGCAAGUCGAGCGAGCGGCGGACGGGUGAGUAAUGUCUGGGAAACUGCCUGAUGGAGGGGUAUAACUACUGGAAACGGUAGCUAAUACCGCAUAACAUCAGAUGUGCCCAGGGGGGAUUAGCUAGUCGGUGGGGUAAUGGCUCACCUAGGCGACGAUCCCUAGCUGGUCUGAGAGGAUGACCAGCCACACUGGAACUGAGACACGGCCCAGACUCCUACGGGAGGCAGCAGUGGGGAAUAUUGGACAAUGGGCGCAAGCCUGAUCCAGCCAUGCCGCGUGUGUGAAGAAGGCUUUCGGGUUGUAAAGCACUUUCAGCGAGGAGGCGUUACUCGAAGAAGAAGCACCGGCUAACUCCGUGCCAGCCGCCGCGGUAAUUC
rnacentral:rRNA from 1 species